UAAAUACUCCAUCCGUCCCAAAAUUCUUGUCUUAGAUUUGUCUAAAAACGGAUGUAUCAAGUCACAUUGUGGUAUUAGAUACAUCCAUAUCUAGGCUAAUCUGAGAAAAGAAUUUUGGGACGGAGGGAGUAUAAA
rfam:Triticum aestivum genome assembly, contig: Triticum_aestivum_CS42_TGACv1_scaffold_404375_5BL